rnacentral:pre_miRNA from 1 species
AGUCCGUGACUUGUGGCAAUAUUAUCAUUGUAUACAAAUAUUGCACUUGUCCCGGCCUAU